rnacentral:ncRNA from 1 species
AGCGGGCCACGCCUCCCCAACGAGGCGCGUGCUAUCUGUGAGGAUAGGAA